rnacentral:misc_RNA from 1 species
CAGAGUCGUAAAAAACUCCCAAACCCAUGUGAACUUACCUUUGUUGCCUCGGCGGACCUACCCUGUAGCUACCCUGUAGCUACCCUGUAGCCCGCCGGUGGACCAUUAAACUCUGUUAUUCUAUGGAUAUCUGAGCGUCUUAUUUAAUAAGUUA